CAAUAGCGUAUAUUAACGUUGUUGCAGUUAAAAAGCUCGUAGUUGGAUUUCUGGAGGGAGCGUCGGCCCGUAUUUACGAGUGCGUGACGUCUCUGUCCAUCCUUGCGGGAAGGCACGGCAUUGAUCUGUUGUGUCGGAUCGCAUCAUUUACUGUGAAAAAAUUAGAGUGUUCAAAGCAGGCUUUCGCUUGAAUACAUUAGCAUGGAAUAAUAAGAUAGGACUUUGGUGCUAUUUUGUUGGUUGAGCCUAAAGUAAUGAUUAAUAGGGAUAGUUGGGGGCACCUGUAUUGCGUUGUCAGAGGUGAAAUUCUUGGAUUUACGCAAGACAAACAGCUGCGAAAGCGUCUGCCAAGGAUGUUUUCAUUAA
rnacentral:rRNA from 1 species